AGGCGCAUCAUGAUCUAGCAAUAGAUUGAUGGCGACCGGCGCACGGGUGAGUAACACGUAUCCAACCUUCCGAUAAUUCGGGGAUAGCCUUUCGAAAGAAAGAUUAAUACCGGAUAGUAUAGCAUUUUGGCAUGUUUUUGUUAUUAAAGAAUUUCGGUUAUCGAUGGGGAUGCGUUCCAUUAGUUUGUUGGCGGGGUAACGGCCCACCAAGACUUCGAUGGAUAGGGGUUCUGAGAGGAAGGUCCCCCACAUUGGAACUGAGACACGGUCCAAACUCCUACGGGAGGCAGCAGUGAGGA
rnacentral:rRNA from 1 species